rnacentral:rRNA from 1 species
UACGUAGGGGGCAAGCGUUGUCCGGAUUUAUUGGGCGUAAAGAGCGUGUAGGCGGCCAUACAGGUCCGUUGUGAAAACUGGAGGCUUAACCUCCAGACGUCGAUGGAAACCGUAUGGCUAGAGUCCGGAAGAGGAGAGUGGAAUUCCUGGUGUAGCGGUGGAAAUGCGCAGAUAUCAGGAAGAACACCCGUGGCGAAGGCGGCUCUCUGGGACGGUACUGACGCUGAGGAGCGAAAGCG